rnacentral:lncRNA from 1 species
GAAGGGACGAGGCGGAGGUAGCGGCGGGAGGCUGGCACUAGCCCGGGCCACGAUAGGUCGGACUACAGCUGGUAGCAACUGGGGGUCGGAAGUGGAGCCCAGACAACAGCGGAGGAGAAAUUUCCGGGGCAGAAAAUGAAGGUGUCCGAGAGACUGACAAUUCUCUUCUGACUUCCUCAGUGCUAACUGGCUUUGGGUAUCUCCUGCAGCAAAGUGGCCGCCCCGCCCUCUCAUCCCCUGCGACCCAGCACCCUUCUUCCUUGCCUUGAGGCUGCGCCUUAGACAGCCCGGGACUUAUUUUACAACAAGCCAAGCAUGGAAGCCCAGUUGUGGGAUUCUCUUCCACUUGGAAAUUACCUCAAGAUGGGUUAUCUGCAACCUGGCUACAACUGACAUAGUACCAGCUGGAACUCCAGGUGGACAAUAAUUCAAGAUAGCAUUUGCAGCAAGACAUGCAGACCUGCAUCCUGUACUACUUCUGUGUAUUUUUCAUGCCAAGCCUCUACUUUUAAAUCCCUCCCCUCAGCCGAAGACCUAAAAUGGUCUUUUAAAGAUAUGAGUCUGGCCAUUUCCCAGUUGGUAGCAUUUGAUAUAUAAAACUGCCUUCCUCUCACCACACCUCACUUCUUGAGUUUUCGGCCUCUGAGCAGCAAGCAGCCGCACUUCAGCCAGCUACAAGUAUAUGCUCAGAAGUUACAUUAAAGCAAAAUCAUAUCACCGUUUAGGUGCAAGAGUAUAUCUGGUUGUGGAUUACAGAGGCAUAAUCACUAACCGUGUCAGAAGUUGUCUUAUGUGUAGGAAAAGGCAAGGACUAGGGUCAUUUAUCUUUUAAGGAAUGUAGUGACUCAGGCAAGAGAUGUGGUGUCCAUGUGCUGUAUCCUUGUUUUAUCUUCAAAUCAUCCUUCUGGAGAGCUGCAUAUCAUUACAAAGUCAGGGCUUUGUGAAAUUUUGCUGGCAAGCAGAAAUGAACAAACACGGCUUCUUACAUUUGCAACUUUGUCUCACAACACACAUUGAAUUUUCUCUAAGGGACAUUUUUUAAGUGAAAGGGUGGCACAAGAAUAUGGGAGCUACACCGGAAAGGUAGAGUGAAGAUCUCCCUCAGUCUCACAGUGCUUGCAAUUCAAAGUCCUGCUAGAAGAAGGAUCAAGAAAAAAUUUAUUGUGUAAAUUAUAUACUUGGCUUUUGUCUCUGUUUCCUGGCAUAUAAUUCUUAAAAUCUUUGGAAUCUCCAAAGUGAUGUUGUUUUGUAUACUAACAAGUUUACUGAUGGCUAGUAGCCCCUAGGUAGCUUCAGGAUGAAGGCUGGUCAUAGAAGAAAACAAGACAUGAUUAAGAGGAUUGGGACUUUCAGCCCCAUCUCCAACUUCCAGAUAGGAUAGAGGGGUUGAAGGUUAAGUCAAUCAUGAAAAGCCAAUAGCUUCAUCAAUCAUGCCUAUGUAAUGAAGUUUCCAUAAAACCCCAAAAGAACUGGGUUUGGAGAGCUUCCAGAUAACUGAAUACGUGGAGGAUCCUAGAGAGUGACACACUCGUCGAAGCUCCUCCCCUUCUCCCAUACCUCACCCUGUGCAUCUCUUCAUCUGUUUUCUUUGCCCAAUAAACUGGUAAAGGUAACAAGUGUUUCUCUGAGUUCUGUGGGCCAUGCUAGAAAAUUAAUCAAACCCAAAAAGGGUGCUGUAGGAAGCUAAAUUUGAAGCAGGUCUCUGUGGGAUCUGAUGCUGCUGACAGACAAUGUUAGAAUUGAAUUGGAGGGCACUCAGGUGGUGUCUGCUAUAGAGCUGAUGGCUUGCUUGGUGGUUGCGAGAAACCCCCAUAUUUGGUCACUGAAAUCUUAUGUGUUGAUUGUUGCAGUAUGAGAGUAGACGAAAAACAGUUUUUGUUUUUAAAGUUUUAAGCUACGUCUAAACUCACAUAGCUUUCAGUAGAACAAUGGAAGCCACAAAACAAUAGAAUGACAUCUUUAAAGUGAUCAAAUGAAAAAAAACAUCAAAAAUGAAAGUUUGGGUUUGGAUUUGGGAAAUAUGGUAACAUCCGUGGAAGUAUAGAUUUUGGAUCUUUCCAAAUCACUGCAUGGGAACAGGGUAGUUACCAAAACCAAAGCCUAUGGAUGAUAUUUACAAAAGCAAAACAAAAGCGCUAAUGUAACACAACUGAUGGGUUUAGUUCACUGUAAAAGUGGCUGAGUGCAAGGGACCCAUAGUAAGGCCUCAGGGAGCUGAAACUGGUUAUUUCCUAUUAACUUUCAAACUGAACCAACAGGCAUUCCUCCCAGGGCAGGGCUCAGAUCUAACGAGGAACUGCUUGGAGUGGAAUCACAAUAAGGAUGACAGAGCAAAAAGAAGAUGGGCCGGAUAAAAGCGCUAGAGAGAGAACUGGAGAAUCUCAGAAAACAAACUCAAUUUUUUUUAACAACACACACAAAAAAAAUGGAUGAAGGGAAACUAUUAAGUUAUUAAAAAAAAAAAGCUAUCUAAAUCAGAAUCUCUUCACAUAGCCCAGAAAGAAUAAUUUCACAUGAAAAUGAGAGAUACAAGAUAUUAAGAUCAAAUCUCAUAUGAAUCUACCAUGAGAAAAAAGUGUGAAUAAGAAGUAGAAUAAUAAUCCUACAGAAUAACUGGAAAGGCAUAUUCAAGAAAUAAACACAACUUUAAUAGAAUGUUUUAAAAUGGGCUGAAAAACUUUAAGAAAAUGAUUCAAGACACAAAAGAACAGCACAAAUCAGA